rnacentral:rRNA from 1 species
CUCGUAGUUGGAUUUCUGUGGGGACGGAGCGGCCGGCCGCAACUUGCGGUUCGAGCUAGCGCUUUCCCUACAUCCUGCCGCGAACCGUGCUACCAUUAGUUUGGUGGCGCCGGGGAUCGGCUCGUUUACUUUGAGAAAAAUAGAGUGUUCAAAGCAGGCCACACGCCUUGAAUAAGUUAGCAUGGAAUAAUAAUAAAGGACUUCGGUUCUAUUUUGUUGGUGUUCGGGACUGAAGUAAUGAUUGAUAGGGACAGUUGGGGCGGUCAGUAUUCCAAAGCGAGAGGUGAAAUUCUUAGACCUUCGGAAGACUAACAGCUGCGAAAGCGUUCCGCAAGGAUGUUCCCUUUGAUCAAGAACGAAAGUUGGGGGAUCGAAGACGAUCAGAUACCGUCGUAGUCUCAACUAUAAACUAUACCAGCUAGGGAUCGGCCAACGUUAAAUUAUUCGACUUGGUCGGCACCUUAUGAGAAAUCAAAGCAUCUGGGUUCCGGGGGGAGUAUGGUCGCAAGGCUGAAACUUAAAGGAAUUGACGGAAGGGCACCACCAGCCGUGGAGCCUGUGGCUUAAUUUGACUCAACACGGGAAAACUUACCAGGUCCAGACAUAGUAAGGAUUGACAGAUUGAUAGCUCUUUCUUGAUUCUGUGGGUGGUGGUGCAUGGCCGUUCUUAGUUGGUGGAGUGAUUUGUCUGGUUAAUUCCGUUAACGAACGAGACCCCAGCCUGCUAAAUAGCGCGGUUGAGCUUUGCUCGGCGCGAGCUUCUUAGAGGGACUAUGAUGCGCGAUAGCACAUGGAAGUUUGGGGCAAUAACAGGUCUGUGAUGCCCUUAGAUGUUCUGGGCCGCACACGGGCUACACUGGCGCCUGCAACGAGCAUAUCAGCUGGCCCGAGAGGGUCUUGGCUAAUCUUUUGAACCGGCGCCGUGCUUGGGAUUGACCAUUGCAAUUGUUGGUCAUGCAACGAGGAAUGCCUUGUAAACGCGAGUCAUCAACUCGCAUUGAAUACGUCCCUGCCCUUUGUACACACGCCCGUCGCUCUACGAUGAUGGUCCGAUGAAAUUUCGAAAGCGCUG